AACCCAGUAGGUUGAGGCUGCAGUGAGCUGUGAUCACUACUGCACUCCAGCCUGGGUGACAAAGUGAUACCCUGUAAAAAAAAAAUUCUUUUUCUGGGAAUACUGUCAUGAAUAUUUUUCUAGACUUAAAGUAUACUCAGCUUUUUUAUCUAAUUUCAGCUUAGUUUCAGGAGUGAAAAAGCUCUUUAUAUUUCAGCUGAUAGAUGAGAAAGUAACUGUGAGAAACAAUAUUAUAGUAACUCAUUUAACACAUAGCUGUUAACGAUCUGUGCUGGAACAAAUAGCAGCUUAUGGCCAGGUUGUAUUUUGACUCCAGGAGUUCAUUGAUGAAGUCAUGGGACACAGUUCCGAAAGCAUGCUGCCUGGAAGUGGGUCUGUUCCUAAGAAGUCACCUGAAGCUCCCUUUAGAACCUACCAGGCUUUCAUGUGAGCCCUGUACAAAUACUUCAUUGGUUUCAAAGAGGAACUUGCAGAAAUUGAGAAGUGCAUCAUCAAUAAUGGUAUUAAAUGUUCU